UGGCCUUGACAUAGAAAGAACUUUCCAGAGACGGAUUGGUGCUAGUUUACUGGAACUUUCAUACAGGUGCUGCACGGCUGUCGUCAGCUCGUGUCGUGAGAUGUUGGGUUAAGUCCCGCAACGAGCGCAACCCUCGUGUUUAGUUACUAACAGUUCGGCUGAGGACUCUAGACAGACUGCCUGGGUAACCAGGAGGAAGGUGAGGACGACGUCAAGUCAUCAUGGCCCUUACGGCCAGGGCUACACACGUGCUACAAUGGGGUAUAUAAAGAGCCGCAAUACCGUGAGGUGGAGCAAAUCUCAUAAAAUAUCUCCCAGUUCGGAUAGUAGUCUGCAACUCGACUACUUGAAGUUGGAAUCGCUAGUAAUCGUGAAUCAGCAACGUCACGGUGAAUACGUUCCCGGGUAU
rnacentral:rRNA from 1 species